GCUCAUGUUGUCCCACAUCACGUCCAGAGGCGAGUAUAUUCCGAGCAUCCCUCCCGUGGAGUUCAUUACACAAGCUGACAACAUCCAUUGGACUCCCACUACAGCACAGGUAAGGCGACGCAGGAGGCUGAGCUCCCAGGUGGAGCCGGGACACGAGGAUAGAGCGCUUUGAAUGUUUGAUUUACCCUUCCUGCCAUUAAAUGUUGAUAACUUAACCCACGCGCGUCUGGAAGCCUGUUUUCCACCAUCUGCAGAGUGCCCAGUUUCAGAAUACUCAACAAUUGGCGACCACGAAGGCGAAACUGAGAUGGCCGCCAGAGACACGGGACUUCGGACGCGGUGAGUAGCGCGCUAAGGGAUCGAACUAUUUAUGCCGUCAGAACACGACGGGGCACAAGCCCGCCGUAGAGUUUAACAAACAAUCGACGCUGUGUGUUUGUUUGUGUCUUUCUGUUGUGCGUUCCUCGUAUGUCUGUCUCACGCUUUUCACGUGAUUUCCUUUUUCUCUUUUCUGUUGUUGCCACGUGUGUGUGAGUGGCCUGUGUGUACUCGACUCCAGGUGUGUCGCUGUUGAGUCUCUUUUCAUGUCUUAUCUUGUGUGUGUUUGUGUUUUGUUCCAGUCACGUUUGCAUUUCUGCACGUUUUGUGGCAUUUACGCGUGCAGGUCUCCCACGUUUUGGCCCGCGUGUUUGGUCGCACGCCUCGUGUCGCUGAUGGGUAGUCGUGUGAGCGCGAUUGUGUGUUUGUUUGUGUUUUUCUGUUGUGCGUUCCUCGUAUGUCUGUCUCACGCUUUUCACGUGAUUUCUUUUUCCUGUUUUCUUUUACCGUUCCUCUUGUAGAGACUCUCUCCAUGUCUAGUCUCUUUUCUGUUCCUUGUGUUAUUGUAGAGAUUUUUCCACUCUCUUUUCACGUCUUUCUACGUGUUAUCGUGUGUGUGUGGCCUUGUUUGGAGUGUGUGCGGCCACGAGGAGUGUGGCCUGUGUGUGUCGCUGCGGCAACAGCAUUUGUGUGUGCUUCGCGGUUCAUGUUUUGUCAUAUUGUGCGUCCUCGUUGUUCGUUUGUUUUGUGACUAACACGUUUUUGUAGACAAGACUUGGGGCUAGUUGACAUAACGUAAGCGCGGCGGCCGUCGUGUUGAACGUGUCGCAGUUACAAGAUCAUUAGACCACAUAGAUUAGUUGAGUUGCCCGUGUCUGGUAUGGGGGAUUCACAAAAGGGGACUUACUGAUCCACUUGGAUGCGAGAAGUACAGCGUGUUUUUGUUUUAUGUUGUCCUGUGUUAAAUCCACCAUUUUGAGUUCGCCUGAGUAAGAAGGGACAUGUGGUCCUGUUUGACCACAUGGGGGGGUGGUUGAAUACAUUUACAUAAGUUAGGACGCCAUUCCUCAUUGUUUAGUUUGUUAAUGUGCGUUUGACCCUUGUUUAACAUGUCCGCCAUUGACAGCAUUCAUUUGCUGCAGCUUUAAGAGGUGUGAGGGUUUUUGUUAGUGGGCGUUUGACAUGUCCGCCAUUGACGGAAUUCUUACAUUGCUGCAGGUUUUGUUUCGACGAGGUGUGAGAGGGUGCGUUUUGUAUUUUGUAUGCUGUUCAAUUUCACUGUAUUCACCCUAAUUUGCAUUUUCCCCAACUGCACCGCAUCCACAAUUAGACACAUAGUGUAGAAUAAAUUUUCUUUCAAUUUCUUUCGAAAAAUCGAGUUACGAUUUUUUGAAUGAUUUUGAUCUGAAAUUUUUUAGGAAUUUCUGUGCUCUACAUUUAUAUAUUAAGCCUCAGUACCUGAUCCCCUUAACAAGCAAGAAGUUGACUGCAGCAUGCAUCCACCUUGAGUUUUCUGAAUCAAAGGUUGUUUCAGAAAAAGGAGGGAUGGAAGAUGCAGAGACAGUUGUGGCUGGUACCGAGAUGUGGCAUUCGAGGAGUGACCAGGUCUGACUGACACAGCUUUGCAACCAAACACUUAACACAUUCAGAAACAAGCACCUACAUGAAGAAAUAUAUCUAGAGAACACAUUCACAUUCACACAGGAGCAGACUAUCGCCCAGGGAGGGGAUAGCAGAGUUAAGUUUUUCUUUGAGCAGGUUACCGGAGCCCACCAGGAGCCAGUGGACUAAGUCCAGGCGAAUGGGGUGCUCUGGAGUCAUUGCAAGGACCUCAGAGCGCCCUUGAUCUGUUCUAUGGUCUAUUGGUCUAUGUUCUACUUCCUGAUGGCGCCGCGGACGGCCGCCUCGGUGUGUUGGUGCGCGAUGUUUUUUGUUGUUUUCGUUUUAAAUACUGUUUUCUGCUGUGAUUCCCAGAGCUCUUUCACCAGAGAAGAGCUCAUGAACAUCAGGGGAACAACUCCAGCGGAUUUAUUUCCAACGUUUUUAACUUCUGUGGAGUUACUGGACAUUUUUGUAAAAGGUGUGCUCACCUUCGCCCACGCGGUGAAACGCCGGCGGAGAGGGAAACGCUCAGGGGCGCUUGUACGGCUACGGAAACGGGGAUCUCGUACAGCGCUGCCGGGCAUAUUUCUCUCCAACGUCCGCUCACUGUGCAACAAACUGGACGAACUCCAGCUGCUGGUGGGGAGAGACAGAGACUUCUCCUCAUCCUCCGCCCUGUGUUUCACGGAAUCAUGGCUUAGUGGAUCGAUACCAGAUUCUGCGCUCCAGCUCGCUGGCUCCCAGCUGUCCCGAGCGGACCGGGACACAGAGCUCUCCGGAAAAGCAAAGGGUGGAGGAAUCUGCUUUUACCUCAACAACGGCUGGUGCAACGACGUAACGGUGAUCCUACAGCACUGUUCGCCGGACCUGGAAUCUUUUAUCAUUCACUGCAAACCCUUCUACUCCCCACGUGAGUUCGCUUCAUUCAUCCUGGCCGGAGUUUACA